GCGCACGGGUGAGUAACACGUAUACAACCUGCCGUCUACUCUUGGACAGCCUUCUGAAAGGAAGAUUAAUACAAGAUGGCAUCAUGAGUCCGCAUGUUCACAUGAUUAAAGGUAUUCCGGUAGACGAUGGGGAUGCGUUCCAUUAGAUAGUAGGCGGGGUAACGGCCCACCUAGUCUUCGAUGGAUAGGGGUUCUGAGAGGAAGGUCCCCCACAUUGGAACUGAGACACGGUCCAAACUCCUACGGGAGGCAGCAGUGAGGAAUAUUGGUCAAUGGGCGCAGGCCUGAACCAGCCAAGUAGCGUGAAGGAUGACUGCCCUAUGGGUUGUAAACUUCUUUUAUAAAGGAAUAAAGUCGGGUAUGUAUACCCGUUUGCAUGUACUUUAUGAAUAAGGAUCGGCUAACUCCGUGCCAGCAGCCGCGGUAAUACGGAGGAUCCGAGCGUUAUCCGGAUUUAUUGGGUUUAAAGGGAGCGUAGAUGGAUGUUUAAGUCAGUUGUGAAAGUUUGCGGCUCAACCGUAAAAUUGCAGUUGAUACUGGAUAUCUUGAGUGCAGUUGAGGCAGGCGGAAUUCGUGGUGUAGCGGUGAAAUGCUUAGAUAUCACGAAGAACUCCGAUUGCGAAGGCAGCCUGCUAAGCUGCAACU
rnacentral:rRNA from 1 species